rnacentral:rRNA from 1 species
CUGGUAGUCCACGCCCUAAACGAUGAAUACUAGAUGUUUGGUGCCAAGCGUACUGAGUGUCGUAGCUAACGCGAUAAGUAUUCCGCCUGGGAAGUACGGCCGCAAGGUUAAAACUCAAAGGAAUAGACGGGGGCCCGCACAAGCGGUGGAGCAUGUGGUUUAAUUCGAUGCAACGCGAAGAACCUUACCUGGGCUUGACAUGUCUGGAAUCCUGCAGAGAUGCGGGAGUGCCCCUCGGGGAAUCAGAACACAGGUGCUGCAUGGCUGUCGUCAGCUCGUGUCGUGAGAUGUUGGGUUAAGUCCCGCAACGAGCGCAACCCUUGUCCUUAGUUGCCAGCGGUUCGGCCGGGCACUCUAGGGAGACUGCCGGUGACAAACCGGAGGAAGGUGGGGAUGACGUCAAGUCCUCAUGGCCUUUAUGUCCAGGGCUACACACGUGCUACAAUGGCGCGUACAGAGGGAAGCCAAGCCGCGAGGUGGAGCAGACCCCAGAAAGCGCGUCGUAGUUCGGAUUGCAGUCUGCAACUCGACUGCAUGAAGUCGGAAUCGCUAUAAUCGCGGAUCAGCAUGCCGCGGU